rnacentral:rRNA from 1 species
GGGGAAUUUUCCGCAAUGGGCGAAAGCCUGACGGAGCAAUACCGCGUGAGGGAGGAAGGCUCUUGGGUCGUAAACCUCUUUUCUCAAGGAAGAACACAAUGACGGUACUUGAGGAAUCAGCAUCGGCCAACUCCGUGCCAGCAGCCGCGGUAAGACGGAGGAUGCAAGCGUUAUCCGGAAUUAUUGGGCGUAAAGCGUCCGUAGGUGGUUAUAAAAGUCUGUUGUUAAAGCCCACAGCUCAACUGUGGAUCGGCAAUGGAAACUGUAUGACUUGAGUGUGGUAGGGGUAGAGGGAAUUCCUAGUGUAGCGGUGAAAUGCGUAGAUAUUAGGAAGAACACCAGUGGCGAAGGCGCUCUACUGGGCCAUAACUGACACUGAUGGACGAAAGCUAGGGGAGCG